ensembl:lncRNA
UGUAGUCACCAGAGUCCCCUGGUGACUGGAAGCAGGAGGCUUCUCACUGGCCGGGCUGCUGCAGGCUCAGAUCGGCAGGGCGGUCAGGGUGGAGGGAAGUUUCCUUCUUCCUGCUGGAUAGUAAGGUGGCUUGCUCCUUCCUGUCAGGAUGUAGGUGCCUGUCUCUUCCUGUUCGGCCAUGCCUGGCUGGGAAGGAGAGUUCCCCUACAAGACUUCUUCACUCCAAUUUUAGCUGAGGUUUCUUUCAUUCACUCCGCAGCUCCAAUGGAAAGCCCGGCCCAUCUUUAACUCUCGCACACACUUGCAAAUGUGCUAGACCUUGCUGAAGGGCGUUCUCUGGGGUUAGGUUCCCUGGUCGCACUGGGUGGGCAGCCUUCUGCACUCCCUGUGUCACUCGGUCAACUGCUGAGGGGAGCAGGGAGGUGGAAUCACCUUGGGGCAGUUCCCCAGAGAGGGGGCAGCAGCUAACACUCACAGCUGAGGGCGGGGUGUGAAGCAGCAAGCAGCCCAGGAACUCUGCAACCGUAUCUGGCAGGGCACAGCCAGCAUCCACGACACGGAGCGGAACAGCCUAAUCAUUCUUUGCCUGAGCUGCUGCCAACGCCCUCUGUAUAUGGUGACCACCAGUUUCAGCACUAAACACUCCACAUCCCAGAAACCCCUCUGUCCUGGGAAAUCUGGAAAUCGCUCUUUCAGCGGCUGUGACUUUUCAAGGCUCCCUCCCAAACGAGCAGUAACUUGUCUUUAAAUGAGGUUCACCUACGGUUUUCUUCUGCUGCCUGUGUCUGAUGCUGGUGGCUGGAACAGACUCGCCUUGCAAGCUGAGCUUGGGAACAUUUCCACUUUUCUCACACCCACUUCCUUCCUGUUCAUCCUGAGCACAUGAGUGAAAAACAAAAGAUAGAUAUUCAAGUACAUAAUAC